rnacentral:misc_RNA from 1 species
CGAACUUUUCUUUUAAAUUUGUAUUGUCACUGUUCUGUGCAUCACGAGUGAAGACAACCAGCUAGGAACAUAUCUUUUUAUUUCCAUUCGAUUUUAUAUCUGUUAAUUAUUGUUGUUGUAAAUUAAUUUUUAACAAUUUCAACAUGUUUAUUCUUGCGUGGUCACAACUAUUGAUGAUAAUUGUUCACACCACCUAUGGCUAUGAUUACACGACUAAUUAUAUAACCGUACCGGUCGACCAUUUUAGUUAUACCAAUAAUGAUACAUUUGAAUUGAAGUAUCUUAUGAAUGACACAUAUUGGGAUGUUAAUAAAGGUCCAAUAUUUUUUUAUGCUGGCAACGAAGCACCAAUUGAAGAUUUUUCUGAUAAUACUGGCUUUAUGUGGGAAAUAUCAAGAGAAUUAGAGGCAUUGGUUGUGUUCGCCGAGCACCGUUACUAUGGCGAGUCCAUGCCCUAUGGAAAGAAUUCGUUCGAUGACAAAGUGAAAUUGGGCUAUCUGACCUCACAGCAAGCGCUGGCCGACUUCGUAGACGUGAUAAAGUAUCUGCGUAAUGACACACUGUGUACCGGCAGACGACCUAAUCCGGUAAUCGCUUUCGGAGGCUCGUACGGAGGAAUGUUGGCCGCUUGGUUUCGCAUCAAGUAUCCCGCCACUGUCGAAGGAGCUAUAGCUUCUUCAGCUCCAAUAUGGCAAUUUACUGGAAUGACGCCAUGCAAUGAUUUCUACAAAGUGACAUCGUCAGUUUACAGAAAAACUAGUGUUGAAUGCGGAUUGACUAUUUCAGCAUCCUGGAAAGCCAUAGAUAACGUUACAGAAUCUGAUUCUGGAAAAGCGUGGUUAACUGAUAACUGGAAAUUAUGUAGACCGUUAGAGAACACCGACGACGUAGCACAGUUAAAAUAUUGGGCUGCUGAUGUGUAUGUGGCAUUGGCCAUGGUUAACUAUCCUUACGAAGCAAAUUUUUUGGCUCCUUUGCCUGCAAAUCCGAUCAAGGAAGUCUGCAAGUCAAUGACAAACCACACGGAAGAUGAUUCGACGCUCCUGAUGUCGGUAUUUCGCGGGUUGAACGUCUAUUUCAACUACACCGGGUCGGCCAGCUGCUUAAAUCUGUCGUCAGCGUUUUCCGACGAUAUGAUGAACGGAUGGAAUUAUCAGGCUUGCACAGAAAUGAUAAUGCCGUUUUGUGCUAACGGCGGCGAGGACGACAUAUUUGAAGCAUACCCGUGGGAUUUCGAAAGCUACGCGCAGUACUGUGAAAAUCGAUAUGGCGUGAAACCGACCACGGGCGACGUCGAAAAACAGUACGGUGGCAAAAAUCUCAAAGCUGCGUCCAACAUAAUAUUCAGGUAUCCGAGGUUAAUAGACUCAUAACUACUGGAACGAUUUUUAAGCGGUUUUUUCAAAACCACUCUUUCCAAAAACCGGUUUCAAUGGUUUAUUGGACCCAUGGUCCAGUGGUGGCGUGUUGAAAAGUAUUUCAUCAACCGUCAGGGCGUUAUUGAUACCAGACGGUGCUCAUCACUUGGACUUGAGGGCAUCGCAUCCCAACGACACGUCAUCCGUAAUUC